AAGGCAUUAGAUUCACUAAUCUACAUAUGUAUUCCUCGGCGAAAUUAUUCAUUACCCAGUUAUCUGCAGGGUUAAUUCAUGAAUGCACGUGACAUUACAACAUCGAAAAAAAAAAAGGUAGUAGCCUCAAAUGAUCCAAUUAUCUUUCCCUCAAAAUCAAUGAGUAUUGCCUGACCUAAACAAGUAGCCGUUAAUCCAAUGCCUUAACUUAUAAUAGAACACAUUAAUAAAAAAUUAGAAUCAUACCAAUUAGUUUAUGGCUUCCUUUUUACUUCCUUCACCAGCUUCAAUUAGCUGCUUAUUCUUCUCAAUUGCUGCAGCCACCUCCUUAGGCAUAUACUUCUCAUCAUGCUUAGCCAAAACCUCAGUUGCAGAGAAGUAACACUCCCCGCUCCUCGCUUUCCCUGAAACGCUCCUCGCUCCCACCUCCUUCUUUAUCUCCUCUGUGAAUGGUUUCACAAACCCUUCCACCACCACCGAAUGCCCUUCUCUGAACAAGUCGGGCAGCGAUCCCUGAUACCGGACCAAAAUAUCAGUGAUCAAAUCUGUAAUCACAAACUCCAUUUCAGGCGAAGAAGCAGGUUGAACAACGCUUCCUUCGAGAACUAAUCCACCUAAUCUGAAUUUGUUCUUUUGUGGGUUUGCUUUGUAUUUUUCCAUAGCGUCUGUUGGGGUCACAUAAAACACUAAUUGGUCUUGAAAGUUGUUUAAAACGAUCACUAUAAAACCCGCAAUGCAACUGAACGUCAAAGCAUAGGUCCAUUUGGAGUUGACGGGCUCGGGCCCCUAUGUCCACUGUCUUCGAGCGGGCAGGGUGGCGUCGGGGGGUGGAGAAGAAUCGGAGACCGGUGAGCGAGGGAAAUUCCAUAGAGAUUGUACGGAGAUCUGAGAGAGGGGAGAGAAUCGAGCAUUCAGAUUUCAUGGUAGAAAGGAAUGGAGAAGCAGAGUAGAACAACCUGUUGGUGAUAGUCGUGGUGUUGGUGCGGAGGCGGUGGAAUCUGAGGCGAAAGAGAGAGGAGCGAAAAGCCAUCUUUGUUUCUCGCGAACGUUAUGGAAAGUUUUGAGCAAAUGUGGGAAAAGUAGGAGUUUUUCUGUGGGGUUUACCUU
rnacentral:misc_RNA from 1 species